rnacentral:rRNA from 1 species
UACGAGAGGCCCAAACGUUAUUCGGAUUUACUGGGCUUAAAGAGUUCGUAGGCGGUCUAGCAAGUGAGGUGUGAAAGCCCUCGGCUCAACCGAGGAAUUGCGCUUCAAACUGCUAGGCUCGAGGGAGAUAGAGGUGAGCGGAACUGAUGGUGGAGCGGUGAAAUGCGUUGAUAUCAUCAGGAACACCAGAGGCGAAGGCGGCUCACUGGGUCUUUUCUGACGCUGAGGAACGAAAGCUAGGGGAGCAAACGGGG